GACGAACGCUGGCGGCGUGCUUAACACAUGCAAGUCGAACGGAAAGGCCCUGCUUUUGUGGGGUGCUUGAGUGGCGAACGGGUAAGUAACACGUGAGUAACCUGCCCUUGACUUUGGGAUAACUUCAGGAAACUGGGGCUAAUACCGGAUAGGAGCUCCUUCUGCAUGGUGGGGGUUGGAAAGUUUCGGCGGUUGGGGAUGGACUCGCGGCUUAUCAGCUUGUUGGUGGGGUAGUGGCUUACCAAGGCUUUGACGGGUAGCCGGCCUGAGAGGGUGACCGGCCACAUUGGGACUGAGAUACGGCCCAGACUCCUACGGGAGGCAGCAGUGGGGAAUAUUGCACAAUGGGCGGAAGCCUGAUGCAGCAACGCCGCGUGCGGGAUGACGGCCUUCGGGUUGUAAACCGCUUUCGCCUGUGACGAAGCGUGAGUGACGGUAAUGGGUAAAGAAGCACCGGCUAACUACGUG
rnacentral:rRNA from 1 species